rfam:Schistosoma mansoni strain Puerto Rico chromosome 6, complete genome
GCACUGUUGAGGAGUUCCACAAUAGGACGAAACGGCCGUUCAGUGC